rnacentral:rRNA from 1 species
AUAUCAAUAAGCGGAGGAAAAGAAACCAACAGGGAUUGCCCUAGUAACGGCGAGUGAAGCGGCAACAGCUCAAAUUUGAAAUCUGGCUCUUUUAGAGUCCGAGUUGUAAUUUGCAGAGGGCGCUUUGGCUUUGGCAGCGGUCCAAGUUCCUUGGAACAGGACGUCACAGAGGGUGAGAAUCCCGUACGUGGUCGCUGGCUAUUGCCGUGUAAAGCCCCUUCGACGAGUCGAGUUGUUUGGGAAUGCAGCUCUAAAUGGGAGGUACAUUUCUUCUAAAGCUAAAUAUUGGCCAGAGACCGAUAGCGCACAAGUAGAGUGAUCGAAAGAUGAAAAGCACUUUGGAAAGAGAGUCAAACAGCACGUGAAAUUGUUGAAAGGGAAGCGCUUGCAGCCAGACUUGCUUGCAGUUGCUCAUCCGGGUUUUUACCCGGUGCACUCUUCUGUAGGCAGGCCAGCAUCAGUUUGGGCGGUAGGAUAAAGGUCUCUGUCACGUACCUCCUUUCGGGGAGGCCUUAUAGGGGAGACGACAUACUACCAGCCUGGACUGAGGUCCGCGCAUCUGCUAGGAUGCUGGCGUAAUGGCUGUAAGCGGCCCGUCUUGAAACACGGACCAAGGAGUCUAACAUCUAUGC